rnacentral:rRNA from 1 species
CGUAGGGCGCAAGCGUUAUCCGGAAUUAUUGGGCGUAAAGAGCUCGUAGGCGGUUUGUCGCGUCUGCUGUGAAAUCCCGAGGCUCAACCUCGGGCCUGCAGUGGGUACGGGCAGACUAGAGUGCGGUAGGGGAGAUUGGAAUUCCUGGUGUAGCGGUGGAAUGCGCAGAUAUCAGGAGGAACACCGAUGGCGAAGGCAGAUCUCUGGGCCGUAACUGACGCUGAGGAGCGAAAGGGUGGGGAGCAAACAGGCUUAGAUACCCUGGUAGUCCACCCCGUAAACGUUGGGAACUAGUUGUGGGGACCAUUCCACGGUUUCCGUGACGCAGCUAACGCAUUAAGUUCCCCGCCUGGGGAGUACGGCCGCAAGGCUA